rnacentral:rRNA from 1 species
CCUACGGGAGGCAGCAGUGGGGAAUAUUGCACAAUGGGGGAAACCCUGAUGCAGCGACGCCGCGUGGAGGAAGAAGGUUUUCGGUAUGUAAAGCUCUUUUGGUAGGGAAGAAAAUGACGGUACCUGAAUAAGAAGCACCGGCUAACUCCGUGCCAGCAGCCGCGGUAAUACGGAGGGUGCCAGCGUUAUCCGGAUUUACUGGGCGUAAAGGGGGCGUAGGCGGCAGUGCAAGUCUGUUGUGAAAUGCGGGGGCUCAACCACAGGACUGCUUUUGAAACUGUACUGCUGGAGUGUAGGAGAGGUAAGUGGAAUUCUUGGUGUAGCGGUGAAAUGCGUAGAUAUCAAGAGGAACACUAGUGGCGAAGGCGGCCUACUGGACUGUAACUGACGUUGAGGCGCGAAAGCGUGGGGAGCAAACAGGAUUAGAUACCCUUGUAGUC